GUCGAGCGGCGGACGGGUGAGUAAUGCCUAGGAAAUUGCCCUGAUGUGGGGGAUAACCAUUGGAAACGAUGGCUAAUACCGCAUAAUGCCUACGGGCCAAAGAGGGGGACCUUCGGGCCUCUCGCGUCAGGAUAUGCCUAGGUGGGAUUAGCUAGUUGGUGAGGUAAUGGCUCACCAAGGCGACGAUCCCUAGCUGGUCUGAGAGGAUGAUCAGCCACACUGGAACUGAGACACGGUCCAGACUCCUACGGGAGGCAGCAGUGGGGAAUAUUGCACAAUGGGCGCAAGCCUGAUGCAGCCAUGCCGCGUGUGUGAAGAAGGCCUUCGGGUUGUAAAGCACUUUCAGUCGUGAGGAAGGUAGUGUAGUUAAUAGCUGCAUUAUUUGACGUUAGCGACAGAAGAAGCACCGGCUAACUCCGUGCCAGCAGCCGCGGUAAUACGGAGGGUGCGAGCGUUAAUCGGAAUUACUGGGCGUAAAGCGCAUGCAGGUGGUUUGUUAAGUCAGAUGUGAAAGCCCGGGGCUCAACCUCGGAAUAGCAUUUGAAACUGGCAGACUAGAGUACUGUAGAGGGGGGUAGAAUUUCAGGUGUAGCGGUGAAAUGCGUAGAGAUCUGAAGGAAUACCGGUGGCGAAGGCGGCCCCCUGGACAGAUACUGACACUCAGAUGCGAAAGCGUGGGGAGCAAACAGGAUUAGAUACCCUGGUAGUCCACGCCGUAAACGAUGUCUACUUGGAGGUUGUGGCCUUGAGCCGUGGCUUUCGGAGCUAACGCGUUAAGUAGACCGCCUGGGGAGUACGGUCGCAAGAUUAAAACUCAAAUGAAUUGACGGGGGCCCGCACAAGCGGUGGAGCAUGUGGUUUAAUUCGAUGCAACGCGAAGAACCUUACCUACUCUUGACAUCCAGAGAACUUUCCAGAGAUGGAUUGGUGCCUUCGGGAACUCUGAGACAGGUGCUGCAUGGCUGUCGUCAGCUCGUGUUGUGAAAUGUUGGGUUAAGUCCCGCAACGAGCGCAACCCUUAUCCUUGUUUGCCAGCGAGUAAUGUCGGGAACUCCAGGGAGACUGCCGGUGAUAAACCGGAGGAAGGUGGGGACGACGUCAAGUCAUCAUGGCCCUUACGAGUAGGGCUACACACGUGCUACAAUGGCGCAUACAGAGGGCAGCAAGCUAGCGAUAGUGAGCGAAUCCCAAAAAGUGCGUCGUAGUCCGGAUUGGAGUCUGCAACUCGACUCCAUGAAGUCGGAAUCGCUAGUAAUCGUGGAUCAGAAUGCCACGGUGAAUACGUUCCCGGGCCUUGUACACACCGCCCGUCACACCAUGGGAGUGGGCUGCAAAAGAAGUAGGUAGUUUAACCUUCGGGAGGACGCUUACCACUUUGUGGUUCAUG
rnacentral:rRNA from 1 species